rnacentral:lncRNA from 1 species
GGUGAGGGGUGGGAUGCGGGAGAGUCUGGGUGCCUUCUUGCAUUCUCGGGUUCUCUCUGCCUGGGGGAAGCUUCACCUGGCGGCCAGGUUGGGGGAUCGCCUUCUUUCACCUGAUGGCUGUGCCGAAUGGCACAGUGAGUUAACCCAGAGGAGAGGGCCAAACAGACGAAAAGAUUUCCGGAGGUAAUUUGCACAUGAAUACAACAUUUAAAAGUUUCCAGUAUACUUUACAGUCAUUACUUCAUUUGAGCCUAGCAAUGACUCUCUGAGGUAGGUAACAUAAGUAUCACUUUGUCCAUUUUAAAAAUGAAGAAACUGAGGAACAAAGAAGUUAAGCAAUCUACUCAGGAUCAUGGAACUAAUGAAAGUCAGAAGCAGAGUCUCUGACAUUAAGUUUUGCAUCCUGGCCUCUAUUUCAUGUAAAAAUAAAGAAUAUUGAUUCCUAAGUGUAUCUUACA